rnacentral:rRNA from 1 species
AGUGAACGCUGGCGGUAGGCCUAACACAUGCAAGUCGAACGGCAGCACAGUAAGAGCUUGCUCUUACGGGUGGCGAGUGGCGGACGGGUGAGGAAUACAUCGGAAUCUACUUUUUCGUGGGGGAUAACGUAGGGAAACUGACGCUAAUACCGCAUACGACCUACGGGUGAAAGCAGGGGAUCUUCGGACCUUGCGCGAUUGACUGAGCCGAUGUCGGAUUAGCUAGUUGGCGGGGGAAAGGCCCACCAAGGGGACGAUCCGUAGCUGGUCUGAGAGGAUGAUCAGCCACACUGGAACUGAGACACGGUCCAGACUCCUACGGGAGGCAGAAGUGGGGAAUAUUGGACAAGGGGCGCAAGCUGGAUGCAGCCAUACCGCGUGGGUGAAGAAGGUCUUCGGGUUGUAAAGCCCUUUUGUUGGGAAAGAAAAGCAGCAGGUUAAUAACCCGCUGUUCUGACGGUACCCAAAGAAUAAGCACCGGCUAACUUCGUG